UACGUAGGGUGCGAGCGUUGUUCGGAUUCAUUGGGCGUAAAGGGUGCGUAGGCGGCGCGGUAAGUCGGGUGUGAAAUCCCUCAGCUUAACUGGGGAACUGCGUCCGAUACUGGGUGGCUUGGAUUUGGGAGAGGGAUGCGGAAUUCCAGGUGUAGCGGUGAAAUGCGUAGAUAUUGGGAAGAACACCAGUGGCGAAGGCGGCUAACUGGUCCAGAUCUGACGCUGAGGUGCGAAAGCGUGGGGAGCAAACAGG
rnacentral:rRNA from 1 species